ensembl:lncRNA
CCUCACACCUUCUCCAAGCAAUGUCCCUUACACUUUUACCACCACUCCCACACAUCAUCAACACAUCUCUUCUCACAGGCACUUUCCCCACUGCAUUCAAGCAGGCUCGGGUAACCCCACUGAACAACCAACUGGAUCCUAAGCAGUCAGGGUUCAGGAGUGGCCAUUUAACUGAGACUGUGCUACUGUCAGUCACUGAAGCAACCAGAUUGCAAAAGCUGAUUCCAAAUCAUCAGUUCUUAUUUUGCUGGCUCUAUCUGCUGCUUUUUACACAGUGAAUCAUCAGAUCCUCCUGUCCACCCUGUCAUCAUUGGGCAUCACAGGGAUUCCACUUCGCUGGUUUGAAUCCUAUCUCACUGAUGAUCCAACGGUAGCUGAACAGAUCUCAGGCUGCCUGGCGGACAUCUCGGCAUGGAUGAAAGAACAUCACCUACAGCUCAACUUGGCAAAGACUGAUCUUCUAGUGUUCCCGGCCACUCUAAAUCUACAUCAUGACUUCACCAUCUAGUUGGGUUCAUCAACAAUUACCCCAUCAAGUUCGGUUAGAAAUCUUGUUGUAAUCUUUGUUGACCAGCUGACCUUCAAAUACCACAUUGCAAAGACUGCUCGAUCUUGCAGCUUUGCAUUUUACAACAUCAGAAAUAUCAGGCCCUUCCUAACAGAGCAUGCUGCACAACUUGUCAUUUCUAGGCUGGACUAAUGCAAUGCUCUUCUGGCUGGACUUACAUCAUGCACAGUCAAACCUUUACAAGUGUUUCAGAAUGCAGUGGCACGACUGGUUUUUAAAGCCCAAAAGAGCCUACGUCACACCUCUCUUUAUUUACCUGCACUGGUUGCCAGUUACUGCUCGCAUCAAGUUCAAGACACUGAACAGUAUAGAAUAGAACAGCCACUGGCUCAGCACCCGCCUACUUCCACUCACUCUUACAAAAUCUACAUCCCCUCCAGAAGUCUAAGAUCCACUAGUGAGCGAUGCCUUGUGGUACCAUCACAAAGAGGUACAAAAUAACUUUCCAGAACAUUUUCGUUUACCGUUCCUGGCUGGUGGAAUGAUCUUCCAACCCCUGCUGAUUCCCUGACAUUUUUCAAGCAACAGCUGAAAACUCACCUCUUUUGUCACUAUCUGACUUCAUCCUAAAAAAAAAUAAAAUAAAAAAAAUCUUUUUUUCAUCUUUCUCUUUCUAGCUUGUACUUAUUUGAACAAUGCUUGAAAUUUGGUAUGACGAGCACUUCCUGUGUCUUUUUGCCUCUUUAAGAUGAAUCGCAUGAUGUAUUCCCC